ensembl:lncRNA
AGGGCUCACCCCCUCUUCCCCCUGGCUCCAAGCUAAGGUGCUUUACAUCAGGAACUUCACUUCAUUCUUACAACUGCCCUGAAAGCCAGGACUGUUUUCCCACUGGGGCUCAGAGAGGUUCUGUCACUUGCCCAGGGUCACACAGCUACGUGGUAAGGAGUGAUGAGGCAAAGGCUGCUCUGUUCUUUCUAUUUGGUUUCUAGCUUAGGUUGCAUUUAGGGCUCAGCCACAGAAGCACAGCAUUUUUGAGCUGGAGGGGGCAGACUCUGGAGAAGUCCAGCUUGUCUGUGGUCAAAGCCCAGCAGGACGCAGAGGCGAGCUGGACUCUGUUGGGAGGCACAGACACGGUUCUCCCUGCUACACGGGGACAACAGUGGACACCCAAAACGUUCAACCCUCAAAGCAGCAGCCCACGAGAGACGUCUGCUGAGAGCAUCCCACAGAAGACGCAGUCAAGUCCAGGCAGAGAAUCUGGAUACGGAAGAGUGGACAAGGCAGACCUACACCUUCAACUGCACGCUCAGCACCUCCUCCCCAGCCUCCCCGUCUUGCGGAAAGGCACCCCAAACGCCCAGCUGCUAGUACCAAAAAUCUGGGGGUCUUCCUGACUCAGGGAUCGAACCUGCGUCUCCUGCAUCUCCUACGCUGGCAAGCGGAUUCCUUAGUACUGAGCCAUCUAGGAAGCCCCAAUUUGAUUGCUCUUCACCAUUUCCACUCCCGCAGCGGGGCAGCUCAUCUCCCCUCUAUGGACUACUGCAGUAGCCUAUCAUAUUAUAUCAAUAUGCGUGCCCCUCCAUUCCCUGCUUGUGAAACCGGUUACCUUAGAUU